GUGAGGAAUAUUGGACAAUGGGCGCAAGCCUGAUCCAGCCAUGCCGCGUGCAGGAAGACGCAUCUAUGGUGUGUAAACUGCUUUUGUACGGGAAGAAACACUCCCUCGUGAGGGAGCUUGACGGUACCGUAAGAAUAAGGAUCGGCUAACUCCGUGCCAGCAGCCGCGGUAAUACGGAGGAUCCAAGCGUUAUCCGGAAUCAUUGGGUUUAAAGGGUCCGUAGGCGGUUUAAUAAGUCAGUGGUGAAAGCCCAUCGCUCAACGAUGGAACGGCCAUUGAUACUGUUAGACUUGAAUUACAAGGAAGUAACUAGAAUAUGUAGUGUAGCGGUGAAAUGCUUAGAUAUUACAUGGAAUACCAAUUGUGAAGGCAGGUUACUACUUGUGGAUUGACGCUGAUGGACGAAAGCGUGGGGAGCGAACAGGAUUAGAAACCCCAGUAGUCC
rnacentral:rRNA from 1 species